CACGCUGCAUCCAAACCCCGUUUACAGUCGGUCCGUGAUAUACACGGCGGACCGACUACGGACCGACUACCGUACAAACACACUGCAAACAACACGUGGGUGCGGUGGCACACGUGCACGAGUGUAGUACGAUACUGAGCGCAUUUUCGCGACGUCGUGUAUCAUCAAGAAAUUAGUGAGGAAUCGCUGACAUACCUACGUGAUGACAUUGAUGGAGUGUCAAAGGUGAUAGCAGCGUGGUUGGUCCCCUGCCUAUGAGCUCAUCUUCUUGCAUCACUGCCCUGGUAGAGCUAGGUGAUAGCAGCGUGGUUGGUCCCUGCCUGUGGGCUCAUCUUCUGGCAUCACUGCCCCAGUAGAAUUUGGGAAGGCCUCGUUGCCAGGUGAAUGUACUUGUACUGCCAUGGCUGCCUACAUGAAUGUUGAGGCUGGCUAGUGUCAUGGUGCAAGUGGACUGACCGAUGAUAUCUCCAAAGUGAAGAGGCAGGUUACUUCAUGAGUAGCACAGACCUCAUAUGAAAGCUGUGGGUAUGCCCCAGGAGAAG